UACCAGCACCCCGAGUGGUCGGGACGAUUAUUGGGCCUAAAGCAUCCGUAGCCGGUCCUACAAGUCUUCCGUAAAUCCACCUGCUUAACAGAUGGGCUGCGGAAGAUACUAUAGGGCUAGGAGGCGGGAGAGGCAAGCGGUACUCAGUGGGUAGGGGUAAAAUCCUCUGAUCCAUUGAAGACCACCAGUGGCGAAGGCGGCUUGCCAGAACGCGCUCGACGGUGAGGGAUGAAAGCUGGAGGAGCAAACCGG
rnacentral:rRNA from 1 species